UUCCGGUUGAUCCUGCCGGACCUGACUGCUAUCGGAUUGAUACUAAGCCAUGCUAGUCUUUGUAGUAAUACAAGGCAUACGGCUCAGUAACGCGUAGUCAACCUACCCUAUGGACAAGAAUAAUCUCGGGAAACUGAGCAUAAUUCUUGAUAGACCAUAAUGCCUGGAAUGGUUUAUGGUUAAAAUGAUUCGUCGCCAUAGGAUGGGACUGCGGCCUAUCAGCUUGUUGGUGAGGUAAUGGCCCACCAAGGCGAUUACAGGUACGGGCUCUGAGAGGAGAAGCCCGGAGAUGGGUACUGAGACAAGGACCCAGGCCCUAUGGGGCGCAGCAGGCGAGAAAACUUUGCAAUGUGCGAAAGCACGACAAGGUUAGUCCGAGUGAUUUCUGCUAAAGAAAUCUUUUGCUAGUUAUAAAACCACUAGUGAAUAAGGGGUGGGCAAGUUCUGGUGUCAGCCGCCGCGGUAAAACCAGCACCUCAAGUGGUCAGGAUGAUUAUUGGGCCUAAAGCAUCCGUAGCCUGCUCUGUAAGUUUUCGGUUAAAUCUAUGCGCUCAACGUAUGGGCUGCCGAAAAUACUGUAGAGAUAGGGAGUGGGAGAGGUAGACGGUACUCGGUAGGAAGGGGUAAAAUCCUUUGAUCUAUCGAUGACCACCUGUGGCGAAGGCGGUCUACCAGAACACGUUCGACGGUGAGGGAUGAAAGCUGGGGGAGCAAACCGGAUUAGAUACCCGGGUAGUCCCAGCUGUAAACGAUGCAGACUCGAUGAUGCAUUGGCAUAUAGCCAGUGCAGUGUCGCAGGGAAGCCGUUAAGUCUGCCGCCUGGGAAGUACGUACGCAAGUAUGAAACUUAAAGGAAUUGGCGGGGGAGCACCACAAGGGGUGAAGCCUGCGGUUCAAUUGGAUUCAACGCCGGG
rnacentral:rRNA from 1 species